UCGAACGGAAAGGCCCUGCUUGCAGGGUACUCGAGUGGCGAACGGGUGAGUAACACGUGGGUGAUCUGCCCUGCACUUCGGGAUAAGCCUGGGAAACUGGGUCUAAUACCGGAUAGGACCAUUGGUUGGUACUGGUGGUGGAAAGUUUUUCGGUGCAGGAUGAGCUCGCGGCCUAUCAGCUUGUUGGUGGGGUAAUGGCCUACCAAGGCGGCGACGGGUAGCCGGCCUGAGAGGGUGGACGGCCACAUUGGGACUGAGACACGGCCCAAACUCCUACGGGAGGCAGCAGUAGGGAAUCUUCCGCAAUGGACGAAAGUCUGACGGAGCAACGCCGCGUGAGUGAAGAAGGCCUUCGGGUCGUAAAACUCUGUUGCCGGGGAAGAACAAGUGCCGUUCGAACAGGGCGGCGCCUUGACGGUACCCGGCCAGAAAGCCACGGCUAACUAC
rnacentral:rRNA from 1 species